UGUGAGUCAUUGCAGUAAUGCAAGGCAGACGGCUCAGUAACACGUAGUCAACCUACCCUAUAGACGGGGAUAACCUCAGGAAACUGAGGAUAAACCCCGAUAGAUCAUUAUGCCUGGAACGGUUUAUGGUCCAAAUGAUUCGUCGCUAUAGGAUGGGACUGCGGCCUAUCAGCUUGUUGGUGAGGUAAUGGCCCACCAAGACUAUUACAGGUACGGGCUCUGAGAGGAGUAGCCCGGAGAUGGGUACUGAGACACGGACCCAGGCCCUAUGGGGCGCAGCAGGCGAGAAAACUUUGCAAUGUGCGAAAGCACGACAAGGUUAAUCCGAGUGAUUCCUGCUAAAGGAAUCUUUUGUUAGUCAUAAUACCACUAACGAAUAAGGGGUGGGCAAGUUCUGGUGUCAGCCGCCGCGGUAAAACCAGCACCUCAAGUGGUCAGGAUGAUUAUUGGGCCUAAAGCAUCCGUAGCCGGCUUUGUUAGUUUUCGGUUAAAUCCAUAUGCUCAACAUAUGGGCUGCCGGGAAUACUGCAAAGCUAGGGAGUGGGAGAGGUAGACGGUACUCCGUAGGAAGGGGUAAAAUCCUUUGAUCUAUGGAUGACCACCUGUGGCGAAGGCGGUCUACCAGAACACGUCCGACGGUGAGGGAUGAAAGCUGGGGGAGCAAACCGGAUUAGAUACCCGGGUAGUCCCAGCUGUAAACUAUGCAAACUCAGUGAUGCAUUGGCUUGUGGCCAGUGCAGUGCCGCAGGGAAGCCGUUAAGUUUGCCGC
rnacentral:rRNA from 1 species